UCCUGGCUCAGGAUGAACGCUGGCGGCGUGCUUAACACAUGCAAGUCGAACGAAGCCAAAAGGAAGCUUGCUUCUUGAAGCUUAGUGGCGGACGGGUGAGUAACGCGUGAGGAACCUGCCCUUCAGUGGGGAAUAACAGUCGGAAACGACUGCUAAUACCGCAUAACGUCACCGGAUCGCAUGAUCUGGUGACCAAAGGAUUUAUUCGCUGAAGGAUGGCCUCGCGUCCGAUUAGGCAGUUGGUGAGGUAACGGCCCACCAAACCUACGAUCGGUAGCCGAACUGAGAGGUUGAUCGGCCACAUUGGGACUGAGACACGGCCCAGACUCCUACGGGAGGCAGCAGUGGGGAAUAUUGGGCAAUGGGCGAAAGCCUGAACCCCAGCAACGCCGCGUGAAGGAAGACGGUCUUCGGAUUGUAAACUUCUUUGAUUGGGGAAGAACACAAUGACCUACCCAAAGAACAAGUCACGGCUAACUACGUGCCAGCAGCAGC
rnacentral:rRNA from 1 species